UACGAGGGGUGCAAGCGUUGCUCGGAAUUAUUGGGCGUAAAGGGUAGGUAGGUGGUCUUAUUUGUCUGAUGUGAAAGCCUUGGGCUUAACCCAAGAAGUGCGUCAGAAACGGUAAGACUAGAGUCCUGGAGAGGGUCGUGGAAUUCCCGGUGUAGCGGUGAAAUGCGUAGAGAUCGGGAGGAACACCAGAGGCGAAGGCGGCGACCUGGACAGGCACUGACACUCAACUACGAAAGCGUGGGGAGCAAACAGG
rnacentral:rRNA from 1 species